rnacentral:rRNA from 1 species
AUUCCAGCUCCAAUAGCGUAUAUUAAAGUUGUUGCAGUUAAAAAGCUCGUAGUUGGAUUUGUGGUUGGGUCCGUCGGUCCGGCACAUUGUGCGGGUACUUGAUGGACUCGUCCAUCCUUGGGUGGAAUCUGUGUGGCAUUAAGUUGUCGUGCAGGGGAUGCCCAUCGUUUACUGUGAAAAAAUUAGAGUGUUCAAAGCAGGCUUAUGCCGUUGAAUAUAUUAGCAUGGAAUAAUGAGAUAGGACCUUGGUACUAUUUUGUUGGUUUGCGCACCGAGGUAAUGAUUAAUAGGGACAGUCGGGGGCAUUUGUAUUCAAACGACAGAGGUGAAAUUCUUGGACCGUUUGAAGACGAACUACUGCGAAAGCAUUUGCCAAGAAUGUUUUCAUUA